UACGGAGGAUCCAAGCGUUAUCCGGAAUUACUGGGCGUAAAGAGUUGCGUAGGUGGCAUAGCAAGUAGAUAGUGAAAGCGUGUGGCUCAACCAUACAUCCAUUAUCUAAACUGUUAAGCUAGAGUAUGAGAGAGGUAGAUGGAAUUCUCUGUGUAGGAGUGAAAUCCGUAGAUAUAGGGAGGAACACCAAUGGCGUAGGCAGUCUACUGGCUCAUUACUGACACUAAGGCACGAAAGCGUGGGGAGCAAACGGG
rnacentral:rRNA from 1 species